AAAAAAAAAAAAAAGGGAGCCUUAGAUUCAUUCACAUUUCAUUGGGAGAUAUAACAAGCACUCUAAAAUAUGGUAUUACUGUUCUUGACAUAUGUUUCUUCUUCCUUUCAAAAUUAAUUAAGUAAUCCUUCCUCAUUUAAAAAUAUCCAAGACUAUACUCAAUAGGUGAUCAUUAGCUCGGUAAACACAUUGAUCCUUACAUUUAAUGAAGCUAUCGCAUUGCUAAGUAGAAGAUCCUCCUUAGUCCUUACAAAUAAAUACCUAUGCACUGACUUAUGCACAUGGAUUUUUAAGCUAUUCCAAAUGACUAAAAGAAACCUAAAAAUUUUUCUCAUGAAAUUUUCUUGAAGAUUGGACUACCUUCAAAAGGAAUUCUUUGAAU
rnacentral:misc_RNA from 1 species